UCUCUAGUUACCAUUGAGAUGAAGUCCCCCCCCCCCCCUUAAUUUUUUUACUGGUCUAAUGCCAGAUGAUUUUACUCAGCUAUGUAGCUUAAUUAAUGGGUUAAAGCAUAUUUGCAUGAGAUCAAUAUAUAUUCUAGUUGUAAUAAUUCUAGUGGAUUAGCAAGCAACACCCUAGAGUCAAAUUCAGCCCUGUUGACCAGGAUAAAAUUUCAGCCCUGCUUUACUACUAUAAAAUCCCAAUAAAAUGUGUGAUUACAUGACAAAUUUUCAACCCAAAUGAAAAUUCAAGUGAAAUUUCAUCCCGGUUGAACUCACUAGCCCCAGAUACUCACAUGCAUAAUUAACCUUGGGGCUGAAAUCGUCCAUGUAUUAUAAAAAUUUUCCAGCCCAUUCAACAGUGC